rnacentral:lncRNA from 1 species
CACGCCUAGCUAAUCUUGCAUUUUCAGUGGAGACAGGGUUUCAACAUGUUGGUCAGGCUGGUCUCAAACUCCUGACCUCAAGUGAUUCAGCCGCCUCGCCUCCCAAAGUGCUGGGAUUACAGGUGUGAGGCACCACAUCCGACCUCUGCUCUUCCUCAAAGGCCACCAAAUCAUGCCAGCUAACUGUGCAAAGAUGUUAGCCUGAUAGUCAAAGCUCUUCCCAGACUCUUAUAAACAUAGAAGAACAUAGCGGUUAAGAACAUGAGCUCUGCAGCAGGAUUACACGGAUUCCAAUCUCAGCUCAGCCACAUACUAGCUGUGUGAUGUUGGAUGAGAACAUUGAGGCCUAGGGCAUUUCAAUAGCUUGCCAAAGGGCUCAUCAUUCUCGGGUAACAGGAUGAGGCCAGACACCAAGGAUCCCUGGAUCCAUGCCCUACUCUCCACACUUGUCUUGGGUCUAUGAAGCCCCCAGUCCCAAGGUAAGUCAUGUCAUUGUGGAAAUUAAUUGCAACCUUUCAUGAUUGUCCGAUCCCAUCUAUGGGUUUCAAGGAAGAUUAUGAAGUCCUUAGAACCACAAUGUGUCUAAUUUUUAUUCUGUAUUUUAUUUAUUUUUAAAUGUCUGAGAUGCUGAGAACCUGAGAUAUCACUCAUCUCAUCUUCCUGAAUUUUAUGAACUAAGAAGCGAAAGCUCACCCAAAGCCAUUUAUAGAGUCUAUGGAAAAAGAAGGACUAGACCCUGGAUUCCGUGAUUUACAGGUUUUUCUUCUCCUAAUUUUCAAUCCACUCCAAAACAUGCAGAGAGAUGACCUUAGCAAAGAUGUUUAUUAGUGUACGUUGGUGCUGUUGUUUCGGGGAGGGGGUCGGAAGGUCUUGGAAUCACUUCCUACUGUGUAAUCUGCAAGCUUCCCACUGCGUCUUCCUCUUCCUCUUUGCUUUUUCCAGAGAUAUAAAGGGUGGCUGGUGCCAUUCUUCCAAAAGGAAAGCUGUCAUCUUUACUCACUCAGUCCUCAGCAAACUAUCUGAGCACUAUUUUUGUGCCUCAUCUGGGAGCUGGGGAGUCAGUGAUGGGCAAGAUAUGGUCUUUACUUGCAAAAUUCCCAUAGCACAUUGGAGAAGAAAAAACAGCAAUCAGGUAUGUGCGCUACAGGGGGGUGCAUGCUGCAACCACCAGCAUCAACAACAACAUGCAUUGAAUGCUUCAUGUAUAUCAAGUGCUCUCUCUCCUAAGAGAUAUGAAUGCAUUAACCCCAUUUACUCCUCAAGACUAGAAACAAACACUUUAUAAUUUGCUACGGACUGAAAAUUUGUGUCCCCCUAAAAUGUAUAUGUGGAAGUCUUAAUCCCCAAUGUGAUGAUAUUUGGAGGCGGGGCCUUGGGACAUAAUUGGGGUAGGGUGAGGUCAUGAGGGUGAAAACCCCAUACUGGGAUUGGUGCCCUUAGAAAGGUAUAAAGGGACUGGAGCAUGCAGUUUCUCUCUCUCUCUCUCUCUGUUUCUCUCUCUCUCUCUCUCCCUCCGCCGUAUGAGCACGCAGCAAGAAAGCGGCUGUGUGGCAACCAGGAAGACAGCCUUUAUCAGAAUCCAGCCAUAUUGGUGCCCUGAUCUCAGACUUUCCAGCCUCCAGAACUGUAAGAAAUAGAUGUUCACUGUUUAAGUGCCCCAGUCUAUGGUAUUCUAUGAUAGCAGCCCAAACUGACUAAGACAUCAUUUCUUUUAUCAGAUGAGGAAACCAAUACAUAGAAAGACUUUUAAAUUUUCCCUAAACAAUGGAAGUACAUGCUAAGUGCAAUAGGGGUAUGUAGAAAAGAGUGUUCAGAUUUUAGGGAGAUUUCCAGAAAAGGCCUCUUCAUGCUGGAGAUGGCUUUUUUUAAAUAAUGGAAGGGAGUUCCCAAGGCAAUGGUUGAGCAGUGGAGUGGGAGCCCAGGUAAGAGUAUGCAGGUGGUAGAAACAAAAUAUUCUAAGACAGACGGGCACAAAACAGCAUGGCUUAUUUGGGGAACUACAAGUACCUCUAUGUUGCUGAUGCCUGAUGUUCUAGAGGACACAUUUCAAGGCAGGAACAAGCUGAGGGCAUAUCUCAACCUCCCCUUCCUCAGGGGCACUCAUCCUUCAUCCCUUUAGCAGUUUUACUCAGCAUUUGUUCUAGGAUGCCAGGCUGUGAGGUAAGACAGGUAAGUGAGACUCAGCCUCUACCCUCAGAGUUCACAAUCUAAUGGGAAAACUAAAUUAUCAUAAAGAUAGCAUUACAAAUGCAGUGCUUGACAUAUGCCUGGAGCACUAUGAGACUGUAGGUGAGAAGCAACGAAAAGAGGACAAUCCGGAGAAGGUAGCAGCUGUGCUGUCUCUUAAAGUCUGACCAGGUAGUCCAGGUGUUCCCUGUGUUUGAGGUCAAGGGGCAGCAGGAGAAGAUGCAACAGAAAAGCACACAGCACGAGCAAAGCCACAUAGCUGAAAAACAGCUAUCACCUGCAACAGCUUCUGCUGCUACAAUACCUGUACUCCUCUUAGAUUUUAUUCCAGUAUCAGCCAACAACGUGAUCUGACAGGACAGUCCCAGCCCUAGGAAAUGAACUAUGAUUCGUGCAGACCGAUCGAAGUCAUACCAUACAGCGAUGGAUUUGGGCAUGUGGGCCAGUUGGGAUCAAGGGAAAGGAAGCAUUUCCAUUUUGAUCAAUGGGGGGAUUCUGGGAAAGUCUUCUGCCCGUAAAAAGAAACAAGCCAGGAAAAACGUCCCCUUCCUCCCUGUAGACAUGGCUAUGAACGGCAGGAUGCCUGAAACUGUCCAGGCUUGUUAUGAUGGAGAGACACACUGCACAGGGUGGGGGAAAGGGGAAAUAUACCCUAAGAAUGGUAGACCAGAAAGAUGUAAAGCAUCUGUAUCCUUGUUGAAAUUAUAGUGCCUCCCAAUUAACAUACCUAGAACUGUUUACCUCUGGACAUUUCAUUAUGUGAGAUAUUAAAGACCUGUGUAUUUGAA